GCGAGUGGAACUACCAUAUCAACAAUUACUGAAGGAAAAAAAGCCUUGCUCUCCUUAUCACGUGACUACUUGUGUUUUGUAUAAAACUCAGCGGUUGUGAGCGAACUUUGUACUCUCUUGGCCACAGAAUGAAGGCGUGCGUGAUUUUCUUCGCUACUAUAAUGUUGUUGCAGCUCCUACCACAGGAUGUGCGAGCGGCAAUAGCGUUAAAAGGCGUGCGAUGUCCAAAGGACCCGCCUGAAGGUCCCGGGUGCGAACCUGCCUGCGCUGCAAGAAACUACUCAGGUGGAAUCUGCGGGGCCUUCAAUCUCUGCAGCUGCAUUAAACCAAAUUAGCUUCUGCCGAAUCUUAGUGAAAAUGUACAACGCACAGUCGAAAGCACGUUCACGGGUUGACCAUUAUAUUUCGUGGACAUCGAAAAAUUUACACUUAAAAUGACAAAGAUUUCCGCACACCAUAAUCCGAUGUUGAAAUAAGCACGAUAUUACUAAGGUUUUCAAGUGCAUUCAGUGUGAACUGCACAAUAAUGUUUGCCUUCUUUAUCCCUAGUCUAUGGUUUGUUUAAAUGUGAUGUUUAUAUUUCAUUUACUUACUCUGAUAACACACUUGAUAAAGCUACUUUAAUGAAGAAUCAACUAAUCUUCACGUAGCAGUUCAAUAAAUAUUAAAACAGGCUUAGGUUUACAUUCAUACCUAAGGAAUUUUGUUAAAAAAUGGUUUAGCGUAAUUAUAAAUUGUACUACGGCAGGCUUUGCUAUGACCCAAAGGUGUAUAAGAGCAGUGAUACAAUAUUAACAUUCUAAGUUAAAUUAUAAUAAUAAAAAUUUGACACCAAAAAUUUACAAUGCAGUUCAA